UACGAGGGGGGCGAGCGUUGUUCGGAAUUAUUGGGCGUAAAGGGUGCGUAGGCGGUUUGGUAAGUCCUGUGUGAAAUCUCCAGGCUCAACUUGGAGUCUGCACGAGAAACUGCCGGGCUUGAGUGUGGGAGAGGUGAGUGGAAUUCCUGGUGUAGCGGUGAAAUGCGUAGAUAUUGGGAGGAACACCAGUGGCGAAGGCGGCUCACUGGACCGGAACUGACGCUGAGGCGCGAAAGCGUGGGGAGCAAACGGG
rnacentral:rRNA from 1 species